CAAUAGCGUAUAUUAAAGUUGUUGCAGUUAAAAAGCUCGUAGUUGGAUUUCUGGUGGGAGCGAUCGGUCUGGCGCUUAGCGCGAGUACUUGCAUCGUCUCCGGCCAUCCUUGGGGAGAGUCUGUCUGGCAUUAGGUUGUCGGGCAGAGGAUCCUCAUCGUUUACUGUGAAAAAAUUAGAGUGUUCAAAGCAGGCUUAUGCCGUUGAAUAUAUUAGCAUGGAAUAAUAAGAUAGGACUUUGGUACUAUUUUGUUGGUUUGCGCACCAAAGUAAUGAUUAAUAGGGACAGUUGGGGGUAUUCGUAUUCCGUUGUCAGAGGUGAGAUUCUUGGAUUUACGGAAGACGAACUACUGCGAAAGCAUUUACCAAGGAUGUUUUCAUUAA
rnacentral:rRNA from 1 species